rnacentral:tmRNA from 1 species
GGGGAUGACAGGCUUCGACGGAGGAGGCUGAUCCCGAAUUGCGAGCCGAGAGCCGCCGACCUCGUAAAAUCAGCGAAAACUAAAAGUGCCAAUCGCACUGAAUAUGCUGCUCUCCCACUUGCUGCCUAAUGCAGUAAGUUAAGAGCACAUUGACCCUCUAAAAUGGGUCACGUCUGUCUAUCCCUCUCUCCGGCAGGAGAUAGAACAGGCGUCAAAAAGCCGGAGUGCCGCACAAGAUGCUGCUAAUUGUGCGAAAGAAAGACCUUCGGGUCUUAGCAGAUAGUCAGGCGAUCUCUCUUGUUGGUUGCAGAACGCUUGAUGAAGAUUAACAAUCAACUACGCUCGUAGAUAUUCGAGGGUUUAAUCUUUCGGACGUGGGUUCGAUUCCCACCAUCUCCACCA